rnacentral:misc_RNA from 1 species
GAUGAAGAACGUAGCGAAAUGCGAUAAGUAGUGUGAAUUGCAGAAUUCCGUGAAUCAUCGAAUCUUUGAACGCACAUUGCGCCCGCCAGUAUUCUGGCGGGCAUGCCUGUUCGAGCGUCAUUUCAACCAUCAAGCCCCCGGCUUGUGUUGGGGACCUGCGGCUGCCGCAGGCCCUGAAAAGCAGUGGCGGGCUCGCUGUCACACCGAGCGUAGUAGCAUACAUCUCGCUCUGGGCGUGCUGCGGGUUCCGGCCGUUAAACCACCUUCAUAACCCAAGGUUGACCUCGGAUCAGGUAGGAAGACCCGCUGAACUUAAGCAUAUCAAUAAGCGGAGGA